rnacentral:pre_miRNA from 1 species
GAUUUCAACUGAAAAAGUCAUCAAUAACAAAGUGGCAUAACUCAUCAAGAUCUAUAACUUUUAUUUGGUUUAUUUCUUCCUUCAACAAUGUGAUUUGUAACAUUAUUCAUAAAAUGUACAUAUCUCUUAUAUAGUUUAUAAGCUAUAAGGGAUAUAUGUAAAUUUUGUGAACAAUGUUACUAUCACUUUAUCGGAUGAAGAAAUGACAAAAAUAAAAGUUAUAGAUUUUGAUGAUUUAUACAACUUUGUUGUUGAUGACUUUUUCAUUUGAAAUC